AGAAGUGCUCAUUUUUAUCUCUGCACUAGUCUCUUCUCAGAAACUUCCCAACAUGACUUCCCACAGAAGAGCUUCUACAGAAAAACAGGAGCGUGGAGACUUCAGGUAUUCUGCCUGCUAGUAUUGCGUGGUCUUUACGCUGACUGAAUGGCUGUGUGUUUGCUGUACAAUCAAGAACUAAAGAAGUGAAGGGGAGAGAAGAGAUUACCCUUUCAGAACCUCGAUUCCCACUAAACCAAAGUCUUUCUUCCUACUGAUUCAGCUGGACUUGUAUUAAUUAGAACGAAGGGCUUCUAGAGUCAACGGCCUUGUGAAUGCACAAAUGCAAUGUGAUCUACAUGCCUGCAAAACCACAUUUUAUCCAAUGAGGACAAAACACAACCACUGGAUCUUAUAAAAUGUAUACCAGAUAGGCCCAUGUGUGUGUAUGUGUGUGUGUGUGUGUGCUUCAAACAAAUCUAUGUUUUCCCUUCUUUAAUCCAAAUUUGGAAAAAUUCUUUGUGUAUUUACUUUUGAAAACAUUUGCUUUCAUACACAGCUUUCCUUUGAUGGGUGUAUCAAAUGCUUCCUAUGUGGAGUUUGACAACUUUAGUGCUGACAGAACCCUCGAGGUUUCCUCCACUCAAACCUUUAUUUUCCUAUGAGGCUCACUAGGCUGACUGGGUUAAUAGACUUCCCUGCAGUUAGUUGUAUAGUGGCUAGCACUGAGCUGAGUCUGGGGUCUGAACCUCCGGGCUUGAAGACCAGGACGUUUUUGUUUGAACUAUGCUGCCCCUCUAAACAAAUAAACUUUCCAGACUUUUCGAGCAGCCAGUAAGCCCAUUUUAUACAAGUGAACAAUCGCUGUGGUUAUGGAUUGAGGUUACCAUGUCAAAGCUGUACAUACAUGCACUGCACAUAUAAAAAGCAUACUAUAUAAUCUUUAUCAACAAACCAAUUAUAUUUUAUGCCCAUAUGUUUUGAUUCCUGCAUAUGCAAAGUUUUCUUUUUGUCUCGGUCCAAAGAUAAUAAGAGAUUCCUUGAAGAUUUUCAGGGCUUUAAUUUCAUGGUACAUUUUUCAAUACUUCUUUCAAUAUGAAAAAAAAAAGUGCUUUUUAAUGCUUUUUAAAGUAAAAAACUCUCAGUACUAACUUAAUGUCACCCCCUUGCGAUCACAAACGAGCCUUGAGCCAGGCACCAUCAUCUUUUGCACUUGCAGCUUCUCAGCAUCUACCAUGGAAAUUAUUUUAUAAAGCUACUCCC